CAAUAAAAUUACCCUAGAAAACCUUAAGGGGUUUGUUUAAAUUGCAUAUUAGUAUAUAGUAUAAAGUUGACAGGGCAGUGGCUAGAAAAUAUUUAAAUUACAGAAACUGUUGGAUUUAAGUUUCUUUUAGGACAUUUAGAAGAAACAAAUCUGGUAGUACCCCAGUGACAUAGAGAACAGAAUUCUACAUAGGGUCCUCACACUGCCCCAGACUUGUUUACAUAUAUUCUUUUUGAAGGCCUUAUUUAGGUCUGACCAUACCCUGGAGUCUUGCUCUCAGAACUGAUUAGUAGAGAUCAAGAGUUUUGGCUGGUGAAUCCUGCUGCCUUUCUAGAGCUGGUGCUCACAAUUUCCUGAAACCCAAAAGCAGAUGAAUGGGAAAAAUAAAGUAUGUAUUAUAGAGUCUUAGCUUUUAAGUUUUCUAUUAAAACCAGUGCUUGCAGAGACAUUCUAUUUAGCAACUUGUUUUCUAUUCCUGCAGAUCCAGUAAUUGCUCCCCAAGUAACAAAAAAGUAAACAUAAACAGAAUAAAAUUUUCUCUAAACUGCAUUAAACUCAUCCUUUCUAUAUCUUUUCUAUCUGUCUAUAUUUAGCUUUUAUUUCUUACAACUUUUUAAAAAAUUUGAUGACAGAGAAACAGAAGAAUAAAAAUGCUGGGCCCUUUAUCUAAAUCCUGAAAAUUCCUAAACCCUUAGUACUAGCUCCCAGGGUAUUAUGAGAAUUAAAUCACAUAAUGUGUUAUGCCCAGCACAGUGCUCUGUAUCAUACUCUUGAGCACAUAGUACUUGCUUAAUAAACAUUGCAGUAGUACAUGUGUACAUGUUGUUUUUUAAACCCAGACUUAUUCAAACAUUGCUGCCUUCUGUUUCCUCUAUAAACUUAAAGAGCCAGCAAAGAAUAUAAAACUUUAGGAUGGAGAUGGGUUGUCCUUAUUUGCACGACAAGUAUUUGGUUGUGAGAAGGGUGUUAAGUGUAAGGGACCCUGUGCUCUGCCUGCUUUCUCUAAUGCUAAUAAUGAGCCAAGGGGGAGCAACAUCAGCAUUGACAGGAGACUUGUUUAAAACACUCUUUCAUAAACCCUUUUCAAACCUGCAGAAUCACCUUACAUAAUGUGGGACCAAAAUUACCAAGUGAUUUAUACUUGUGCCCUCCCCACAGCUUCUGUUUAUUGUUCUGGGUGGAAGGAUCCAUGUUGUUUUAAUGAAGGGCCUCAUGUGACUCUAAGGUGAGGCCAGAAUCAAGUAUGAAGGCUUCAAAAUACAUUUUCGAGAGUUAAGUUCCACCUUUGCACUAAAGGGUGGUCACAGGGCCUGUUCUGUUUGGGUUUGGUAGGGACAGGUCAGUGUGGUGCAUAUUUCCAUUACUGUAGCAGAAAUUGCUGGAGUCUCUGGCAGGGGAGGGCACCUGAGGACAGGAAAGGAGAAGCUUAUAUUUUUGUCUUCAUGGAGCAGCUCAUUAUUCCUGAAUCUAUUCUGUUUAAAAGACAGCAGCAUAUUCUCCAUAUGCAGGUGUAACUUGUCCAGAGAAUCUCAUCUGAGAAGGAAUUCCAGAGGAGGAGGAGAAAGAAAAAAAUGGCUUUUCUUCAGGUAAACAUGUGUCAGAUGAAGAGCUGUGUCCACUCUGCCUCCUGGACUGCCAUGCGUUUAGUACUCACAAACCUUUACUUCUCUACUUGUGUUUUUCCUCCCUAAGGAGUUUGGUUUAACUACUUCUUAAAAUUCUUAUGAUAGUCAAGGGUCUCUGGAAAACGUUUCUGUCCUAUGUCCCACAGACUUCUCUACAUUCUGUACGUCAUAGCUUCUUAUAUGCCAUGCAGAAUGCUCCGCAAGAAUUUAUGACCUGCAAUAUUAAAAAUGUUCCCUUUGUGGCUGUUGAACAUGGAAAGAUGUGGAUACUCAAGGUUUCUAUUGGGGAAAACUGUGGCCCUUAGUAAAGAUGGAGAACAUGUAAUGUUGAGGCUCCAGCUGUGUGUUCCAUUAGCUCUAUGCAGAAGAGGAUUAAGAAAAUGCUGAUUUAAAUGGAAUGGCAUUUAUUACCCAGAAAGUUCUGAAAAAAAUUAUUAGGAGAUACUUGCUCUCUAGGGUGCUAAAUGAAGCCUAAUUAAAAUUCCUACUAAAAAUUACAGAACAUAGGAGUUACCUGUAUUUUGAAGUUUGCAUAAACUGUUGUUUAUGGUUAAAUUCAGACUAGUUUACUGUUUUGGGGAGGAAUAUUUCAACAGUGAUGCUGUGUUCUUCUGUGUGCAGUAGCACAUCAUAAAAAUUUGUCCUAGUGCAGUUAAUGGUUAAUGAUUCACUUGGUGAAAUAGCUGAUUGAUUUUUUUCACUGUAGAGAUAACUAUUUUUCUCUUCAUAAUUAUCUUUAUGCAGCUGCUCUACACAAGUGAUCACAUUUAAUCUGGCAGUUCUCCUUUUAUUUUUUCUACAUAUUUUUCUUUAGAAAAUGAAGGCUCUUAUCUUUGUUUACAGGCUAGAAAAACU
rnacentral:lncRNA from 1 species